rnacentral:rRNA from 1 species
AUUGAACGCUGGCGGCAGGCCUAACACAUGCAAGUCGAACGAGUGGCGGACGGGUGAGUAAUGUCUGGGAAACUGCCCGAUGGAGGGGGAUAACUACUGGAAACGGUAGAUAAUACCGCAUACCCUCGGAUGUGCCCAGAUGGGUUUAGAUAGUAGGUGGGGGAACGGCGCACCUAGUGGACGAUCCCUAGCUGGUCUGAGAGGAUGACCAGCGACACUGGAACUGAGACACGGUCCAGACUCCUACCGGAGGCAGCAGUGGGGAAUAUUGCACAAUGGGCGCAAGCCUGACGGAGCUACGCGGCGUGAGUGAAGAAGGUUUGCGGAUCGUAAAGCUCUGUUGGUAGGGAAGCGGUAUCUUAACAGAAAGCAACGGCUAACUCCGUGCCAGCAGCCGCGGUAAUUC